AAAUUGAAGAGUUUGAUCAUGGCUCAGAUUGAACGCUGGCGGCAGGCCUAACACAUGCAAGUCGAACGGUAACAGAAAGCAGCUUGCUGUUUUGCUGACGAGUGGCGGACGGGUGAGUAAUGUCUGGGAAACUGCCUGAUGGAGGGGGAUAACUACUGGAAACGGUAGCUAAUACCGCAUAACGUCGCAAGACCAAAGAGGGGGACCUUCGGGCCUCUUGCCAUCGGAUGUGCCCAGAUGGGAUUAGCUAGUAGGUGGGGUAAUGGCUCACCUAGGCGACGAUCCCUAGCUGGUCUGAGAGGAUGACCAGCCACACUGGAACUGAGACACGGUCCAGACUCCUACGGGAGGCAGCAGUGGGGAAUAUUGCACAAUGGGCGCAAGCCUGAUGCAGCCAUGCCGCGUGUAUGAAGAAGGCCUUCGGGUUGUAAAGUACUUUCAGCGGGGAGGAAGGGAGUAAAGUUAAUACCUUUGCUCAUUGACGUUACCCGCAGAAGAAGCACCGGCUAACUCCGUGCCAGCAGCCGCGGUAAUACGGAGGGUGCAAGCGUUAAUCGGAAUUACUGGGCGUAAAGCGCACGCAGGCGGUUUGUUAAGUCAGAUGUGAAAUCCCCGGGGCUCAACCUGGGAACUGCAUCUGAUACUGGCAAGCUUGAGUCUCGUAGAGGGGGGUAGAAUUCCAGGUGUAGCGGUGAAAUGCGUAGAGAUCUGGAGGAAUACCGGUGGCGAAGGCGGCCCCCUGGACGAAGACUGACGCUCAGGUGCGAAAGCGUGGGGAGCAAACAGGAUUAGAUACCCUGGUAGUCCACGCCGUAAACGAUGUCGACUUGGAGGUUGUGCCCUUGAGGCGUGGCUUCCGGAGCUAACGCGUUAAGUCGACCGCCUGGGGAGUACGGCCGCAAGGUUAAAACUCAAAUGAAUUGACGGGGGCCCGCACAAGCGGUGGAGCAUGUGGUUUAAUUCGAUGCAACGCGAAGAACCUUACCUGGUCUUGACAUCCACGGAAGUUUUCAGAGAUGAGAAUGUGCCUUCGGGAACCGUGAGACAGGUGCUGCAUGGCUGUCGUCAGCUCGUGUUGUGAAAUGUUGGGUUAAGUCCCGCAACGAGCGCAACCCUUAUCCUUUGUUGCCAGCGGUCCGGCCGGGAACUCAAAGGAGACUGCCAGUGAUAAACUGGAGGAAGGUGGGGAUGACGUCAAGUCAUCAUGGCCCUUACGACCAGGGCUACACACGUGCUACAAUGGCGCAUACAAAGAGAAGCGACCUCGCGAGAGCAAGCGGACCUCAUAAAGUGCGUCGUAGUCCGGAUUGGAGUCUGCAACUCGACUCCAUGAAGUCGGAAUCGCUAGUAAUCGUGGAUCAGAAUGCCACGGUGAAUACGUUCCCGGGCCUUGUACACACCGCCCGUCACACCAUGGGAGUGGGUUGCAAAAGAAGUAGGUAGCUUAACCUUCGGGAGGGCGCUUACCACUUUGUGAUUCAUGACUGGGGUGAAGUCGUAACAAGGUAACCGUAGGGGAACCUGCGGUUGGAUCACCUCCUUA
rnacentral:rRNA from 1 species